GGUAGAGCACUGAAUGUUCUAGGGGCCUUCACCGGUUACCGAAAACUAUCAAACUCCGAAUACCAGAGUAUCAUCUACGGGAGUCAGACUAUGUGAGAUAAGUUUCAUAGUCGAAAGGGAAACAGCCCAGACCGUCAGCUAAGGUCCCAAAAUAUAGGUUAAGUGGAAAAGGAUGUGGGGUUGCACAGACAGCUAGGAUGUUGGCUUAGAAGCAGCCAUUCAUUCAAAGAGUGCGUAAUAGCUCACUAGUCGAGUGACCCUGCGCCGAAGAUAAACGGGGCUAAAACCUAUUACCGAAGCUACGGAUACUUAAUGUAUGGUAGAGGAGCGUCGUAUACGGGUUGAAGCAGUACUGUAAGGUAUUGUGGACUUUAUACGAGAGAGAAUGUUGGCAUGAGUAGCGCGAGGCAGGUGAGAAUCCUGCCCACCGAAAAUCUAAGGUUUCCUGAGGAAGGUUCGUCCACUCAGGGUUAGUCGGGGCCUAAGCCGAGGGCGAAAGCCAUAGGCGAUGGAUAACAGGUAGAAAUUCCUGUACCACCGAAGGUUGUUUGAAUGAUGUGGGGACACAGGAGGAUAAGCUGAGCACGCCGUUGGUAGAGCGUGUCCAAGCGUCAAGGGAGUAUGAAUAGGCAAAUCCGUUCAUAUAUAUUCUGAGGCGUGAUGGGGUGGUCAAUAGACCGGAAGCAGCUGAUUUCACACUGUCAAGAAAAGCCGCUAAUUAGACCUAAGGUGCCCGUACCGCAAACCGACACAGGUAGAUGAGGAGAGAAUCCUAAGGUGAGCGAGAGAACUAUUGUUAAGGAACUCGGCAAAAUAACCCCGUAACUUCGGGAGAAGGGGUGCCUGCUUCGGCAGGCCGCAGUGAAAAGGCCCAGGCAACUGUUUACCAAAAACACAGGUCUCUGCAAAAGCGAAAGCUGAAGUAUAGGGGCUGACGCCUGCCCGGUGCUGGAAGGUUAAGGGGACGUGUCAUCGCAAGAGAAGCACUGAACUUAAGCCCCAGUAAACGGCGGCCGUAACUAUAACGGUCCUAAGGUAGCGAAAUUCCUUGUCGGGUAAGUUCCGACCCGCACGAAAGGCGUAAUGAUCUGGGCACUGUCUCAACAAUAGACUCGGUGAAAUUGUAGUACCGGUAAAGAUGCCGGUUACCCGCAGCAGGACGGAAAGACCCCGUGGAGCUUUACUGUAGCUUGAUAUUGAGUUUCGGCGUUGCAUGUACAGGAUAGGUGGGAGACUAUGAAGCAAGUACGCCAGUAUUUGCGGAGUCAUCGUUGGGAUACCACCCUUGUAACGCUGGAAUUCUAACCAUGUACCGUGAACCGGUGCUGAGACAGUGUCAGGUGGGCAGUUUGACUGGGGCGGUCGCCUCCUAAAGAGUAACGGAGGCGCCCAAAGGUUCCCUCAGCGCGGACGGAAAUCGCGCGAAGAGUGCAAAGGCAAAAGGGAGCUUGACUGCGAGACAUACAGGUCGAGCAGGGACGAAAGUCGGGCUUAGUGAUCCGGUGGUUCCGAGUGGAAGGGCCAUCGCUCAACGGAUAAAAGCUACCCCGGGGAUAACAGGCUGAUACCCCCCAAGAGUUCACAUCGACGGGGGUGUUUGGCACCUCGAUGUCGGCUCGUCUCAUCCUGGGGCUGGAGUAGGUCCCAAGGGUUGGGCUGUUCGCCCAUUAAAGAGGUACGCGAGCUGGGUUCAGAACGUCGUGAGACAGUUCGGUCCCUAUCCGCUGUGGGCGUUGGAAAUUUGAGUGGAGCUGUCCUUAGUACGAGAGGACCGGGAUGGACAUACCUCUGGUGCACCAGUUGUUCUGCCAAGGGCAUAGCUGGGUAGCCACGUAUGGACGGGAUAAGCGCUGAAAGCAUCUAAGUGCGAAGCCCCCCACAAGAAUAGAUUUCCUCCUUUA
rnacentral:rRNA from 1 species